UACGUAGGGUGCAAGCGUUAAUCGGAAUUACUGGGCGUAAAGCGUGCGCAGGCGGCUUUGCAAGACAGAUGUGAAAUCCCCGGGCUCAACCUGGGAACUGCAUUUGUGACUGCAUUGCUGGAGUGCGGCAGAGGGGGAUGGAAUUCCGCGUGUAGCAGUGAAAUGCGUAGAUAUGCGGAGGAACACCGAUGGCGAAGGCAAUCCCCUGGGCCUGCACUGACGCUCAUGCACGAAAGCGUGGGGAGCAAACAGG
rnacentral:rRNA from 1 species